UGGGGAAUUUUGGACAAUGGGCGAAAGCCUGAUCCAGCAAUGCCGCGUGUGUGAAGAAGGCCUUCGGGUUGUAAAGCACUUUUGUCCGGAAAGAAAUGGCUCUGGUUAAUACCUGGGGUCGAUGACGGUACCGGAAGAAUAAGGACCGGCUAACUACGUGCCAGCAGCCGCGGUAAUACGUAGGGUCCAAGCGUUAAUCGGAAUUACUGGGCGUAAAGCGUGCGCAGGCGGUUGUGCAAGACCGAUGUGAAAUCCCCGAGCUUAACUUGGGAAUUGCAUUGGUGACUGCACGGCUAGAGUGUGUCAGAGGGGGGUAGAAUUCCACGUGUAGCAGUGAAAUGCGUAGAGAUGUGAGGAAUACCGAUGGCGAAGGCAGCCCCCUGGGAUAACACUGACGCUCAUGCACGAAAGCGUGGGGAGCAAACAGG
rnacentral:rRNA from 1 species